CGGCUGUGAGGGGGCGGGCGGCGCCGGGAGCCCGAGGAGGAGCCCGAGCAUCCCGGCGCCGGGGACAGCCGGAGAACGGGCGGCGAGGCUUCAUGGGCUGCUCACGCCACCAUGGUGCUCGCCCUCAACGGCAGCCACCUCUACGGUAACCUGCGGCCCCUGGCGCUGGAGGAGCCGCGGGCGCUGGGCGGCGGCAGGAUGAUCGCGGGCUCCUGGCCCCCGCGCAGCCUGGCCAAGCUCGGCCCGUCGCCCCCCCCGUCGGCGCUGCCCACGGCGAGCCCCCUCCCCGCCAACGACUCCCAGUGCGGGGAGCAGAUCCUCAGCUACGGCAGCGCGGAGAAAGUUCUCAUCGGGGCCGUGCUCUGCCUCAUCACCCUGCUGACCAUCGCCGGCAACUGCCUGGUGGUGAUCUCCGUCUGCUUCGUGAAGAAGCUGCGGCAGCCCUCCAACUAUCUCAUCGUCUCGCUAGCCCUGGCCGAUCUCUCGGUGGCCCUGGCCGUCAUGCCCUUCGUCAGCGUCACCGACCUCAUCGGCGGGGAGUGGAUCUUCGGGCGCCUCUUCUGCAACGUCUUCAUCGCCAUGGACGUCAUGUGCUGCACGGCCUCCAUCCUGACCCUCUGUGUGAUAAGUAUCGACAGAGAAAUUAUGCUUCAUGAACGCACUGCCAGAUGCAUAAUAAGCAGGUACCUGGGAAUAACAAGACCUCUUACAUACCCUGUAAGGCAGAAUGGGAAGUGUAUGGCCAAAAUGAUCCUGUGUGUCUGGCUUUUAUCUGCCUCCAUCACCAUCCCCCCGCUCUUCGGCUGGGCCCAGAACGUAAAUGAUGAAAAGGUUUGUCUCAUCAGUCAAGACUUUGGCUACACCAUUUACUCCACAGCAGUUGCAUUUUACAUUCCAAUGUCAGUGAUGCUUUUCAUGUACUACCAGAUUUAUAAAGCUGCCAGGAGGAGUGCUGCUAAGCACAAGUUUACAGGUUUUCCCCGUUUGGAAGAAAUUGAAGGGAUUUCUGUGAAUGGACUUGUAAAACACAAGGAAUCUGAAGAAUGUACUAAUUUUUCACGACUCCUAAAGCAUGACAAGAAAAACAUUUCCAUCUUUAAAAGAGAACAGAAAGCUGCCACCACCCUUGGGAUUAUUGUUGGGGCUUUCACAGUCUGCUGGCUGCCUUUUUUCCUCCUCUCCACUGCAAGGCCCUUCAUCUGUGGUACAGCCUGCAGCUGCAUCCCACUCUGGGUGGAGAGAACAUUUCUCUGGCUGGGCUAUGCAAACUCUCUCAUUAACCCUUUUAUAUACGCCUUCUUCAACCGGGACCUGAGGACAACCUAUCGCAACCUGCUGCAGUGCAGAUACAGGAAUAUCAACCGCAAACUCUCGGCCGCGGGCAUGCACGAGGCUCUGAAGCUUGCAGAAAAGCCAGAAUUUGUUCUGUAAGGUCACUCAUCCUCUCCUGUGAUCAUUUGUUGUUUUAUCACAUUGGUUUUUUCCCCACAGGUUUGAAAGAAGUGUAGGAAGAACCAGUUGAGCACUGUUGGUGCAGUCAUCAGGAAACAAGCAGGAGAAGUUCUGAUUUCUCCAGGGAAAAAGAAUCAUGACCAAGUGUGCUUCAAAGCAGCCAGAAAAAAUCAAGUCAGACCAGGAAGAAGAAAAAUGAGGAGUUGGCUUCUAAAGAACUGGAUAGAUUUAUAAAAUGUACUUCAUCUUCCUUUGAUGGGAGUGGGCUAAAAAUAUUCCAUGAGCUCAAUACAUUAAAUUAGAUAUAUUUCUAUUGGAAGUACUCACAUCUUGUUUGUUAUGGAGGAAAAUGCUGUUACAUAGUCUUCUGCCUGAGAAAGCCAAAUAAUUUCAGCAAUAAGUUUGACACAGAGUGGAAGGAAUGCAAAUAAAACUCAAAGAUAAAGCAUUGUACAAAUUUCCACUACACUUAACGAUGUAGAAGAACAUUUGUAUGUUUACCAUGCUUGUGGAUCCCAACAUUGGUAUUCAUAUUCAGGGAUUGCCAGUGAUACUGAAUGUAUUUUGCUGUACUAAAAAUAGAGGUUUUCAGGCAAAUUCUGUCUCCGUGGAUGCUUUCAGAGCUUCUGUUAAAGAGAUGCUGCACACCUGCAAUGGGAUUGAGAAUGACAACAAUAAAAGACCAAUUUUUGUUAAAGAGUUCUGUUGUAUUAAGUAAAUGUUUGUUACUAUUUAGCAUAUAUGUCAUUGGUUCUCCCUAACUUUUGUAAAACUCUGCUUACAGUUACACAGUGAUGAAAGAUAAGAGGCAAAAUUAGAAUGCACAUGUAUUACACCACAGCUAAUUUACAAAUAUGAUUGCUUUGCUUUAAUGCAAUUUUCAUGACCUGCCAAUUUAUGAAUUUCUGUCAUUUCAACUCAAAUAUGUAUAAAAGGCUGGAUAAUUUCCACAGCACUUGCCUUUUUGUCUUACUGGCUAGCAAGACAGAGAAUUAAUUUUUUUUUUUUUUUGAAAUAUGUUUAAGAGGUGUUAUUUCUGCCAAUGGUUUGUUAUAAUUAAAACAGAUCAUUUUGGCUUGAUAAAAACUAAAUAGGUGAGUAUAAAUGACCAAGUGACUAUUUUUCCCAGGGAAAAAGGAUUCAAGGCAUUGUUCCUUAAGCAUAGCUUUUAAUAUUUUUUGGGGUUUUUUUUGAGCUUCUCACAUAUUCAUUUCCCUUCUAAACUAUGUUUAGAGUUUCUAAACUAUGCACGGUUAUACAAUGCACAAUGCAGAAACAUAGCCCAUUCCCAAAGUGUUUGAAGGUACUCCUUGAUGAACACUUGCCUUAUUUCCAUAGCUGUGGGAUUUGUGAUAAUUUAAUCCCUUACUUGCAGUUUAACCAAAAUGCUGCUGGUAAAUCAUCCAGUGGCUACAUGUGUCAUUGGGGCUUUAAUUUCCUUUAUUUAUAUCAAUGUAAAAGUUCACCAUAGCUGCCUAAACAUACCAGACAUACCAGAACAGGCCAAUAAAUUUCUUAUUGGCGAGGAAUCAGCAUAGGAAGCAAAUCAAAUCUAUGCUAAGCCUAUGUAAAACCUAGAACACAGAGCCUAAUCCUUCUUCUACACACAAUCCUGACACCCUAAGGUAACUCCUGUGGUCACAUGAGAGCACCAGAGUAGCAGAUUUUCAUUUCACUAGGGCAGCAAGGCUCCUUUCAGUAUUUUACUGAUAUAACUACUCACUCUGAACUCUACAUCUGAAACAAAAGGAGUCUUACAGUUUAUUUUAUUUUCCAAAGGGAAUGACACAGAAGUGCUUUUUACUUGGUUUGCCUGAAUUAUUUAACAGGAAAAUUGACAUUAUUGGCAAUGGCCAGUGGGCCAGUUCUGGUUGCAUUUUAUGAGAAUACAUUCAGAGGAACUCAGCUGAAGGCAAAACUACAAUGGCAGAUAAUAUUAUAAUUGAACCUAGUGAGAAAGGGAGAUGAUUGUUUCACAAAUGUAACAAGAAUAAAGGGGAAAAAGGAGGGGAGGGGUUUACUUUUUUUUUACUUUUUACUUUUUUAAAAAAACCCAAGCCUUAAAAUGAGGGGCAGUGGCCAUAAUCUGAAACUCAUUUUCAAGCUUUAUGGUCUCAGUUGCAUAUCCAUUUCACAAAGACAAUGAAGCAAUUUUACUGUCAUUUUCCUUGUUCAUGAUGCUGUGUCAAAACCUUAACUUGAAGUGAAAUGGAAAAAAUAUACAUUAUAUUAAUAUUUUAAAGGAUUAAAAAAAUUUCCAAAUAAAAAAUAGCUGCCAGUAAAAUUUUUCUGUGAAAAUUUAUGUGGUUUUUAAUGUCAUUAUUUUAAGUGUAAGGGAAAAUGUGUGUUUUAAGAGGAACUUAAUAGAGGGCAAAAGAGUCCGAAAGAGCUUUAAGCUGCUAGGGAGCUACAGUUCCAGGCAGAUGUAUCUAUACAUAUAUAUAGCACACACACUCAUGUCCCUUGUAUUUUAGGAUGGUACUUUCUCAUGAAAAGAAGGUAGUGAAUCUAUCAUUACCUGAUAAACAUUUUUUUCACUACCUAUUAUAUUCCCAGAAUCUCACAGAAAUUAUGAGGUUAUCAUAGGACAGGCUGUGGCUUCACAGACCUAUAAAGUUGCUGUUCUACCUGUUUUUCCAGAAAAAGUUUUUCACCCAGGAUCUUUCAGACACAUAAGCAACACAGAGAACAUUAGGAACUAUGCAGUUCUGGUACUUUGUGAUAGGAAAUUAAGCUUUUUUGUUUUUUCCUGCUGUAACUGUCAGGUCUGUCACCUCUCACACCAAUGCACAAACUCACACAGCAGCUAGGAGAGAGACCCAAGUGCAUGCCCAACACCAGCAAAUAAUGCACACAUUUUAGAGGAUUAGGAAAGAAAUAGGGCUGUUCAAAAGAGGUCAGGAGAUGAGACAGCCUGGUGGGAUAAGGAGCAGAGCUUUCCACAGUUCCUGUAGCCCCCACUACAAGGGCAGCACACAGACCUGCCUCCCACUGAGAUAAUCCAAGUGCCCAGGCUGUGGAUAUAACCACAGCAGAGUGGAUGAUGAUGCCAGAAGCAAGGCUCAGAACCCCUGUCCUGGAUCUGCAGAGGAUGCCUCUCUAGCUCUGUCCCUAAAACCUGUUCUGGGAUGUGACAGUGAGCAGUUUGCAUUUUAACAGGGCUGCCUUAUGGUAGUUACCAUUGCAUUUACCAGUUACCAUUGUCAUUCAAUAAAAUAAAUUACUUUAAAAAAUUGCAUACAUCUUGAUCUUUCACUAUCCACCCGAUCCUGUCUUUUCCCCAUAUACUCUUGUGGUUAACAGACCACUGAGGUAUUUGGUGGACAAGCCUACUACACCUUUAUUAUAUCUCUCCUACAUUUCCCUUAUCAUCCUUUUUUUUCCAGAUUAAUCUUCUAGUCUACAAAUUUGAAGCCUUUUCCUAGCUGUCCCCUUGAUUCUACUGUAAAGUUCUUACUAAAUUAUGUGGCUUUAUCAAUAUGACAAAGUGAUUCAUUUGCUUCAGACAUGAGCAAAAAAUAAAUUCAGUGAUAAGAGGAGAAAGUUUUUUAUUAUCACAAUAUACACUGAUAAAAAAGUUAUGUGGAAGCACAAAAAUCUACAUAUACUAUGUAAACAGUCAGAUGAUCUCAAUUUUAAAAGAUAAAUGUGAAUUCUAUGUAUUAUUUCAGCCAGCUGGGACUUUUAAUAUGCAAAACUCACCAGAGGAUUGAGAUGAAACUAUUUUAGGUCAUAUAUUUUACCUUGAAAAGGUCUGGUAAAAUAUAAAGAUGGGUAACAUAAGAGAUUCUUUUCCCCAGGUAGCUUGCCAAGAAAUACAAAUAUGAUGAAAUUAAACUCUUCACAUUCUAAUUAGCUUGUGCUGAAAAUAUUGAGCCUCUUUUGUUGUAAUAUGAGUUUUACUUGUAAGAAAAAGAAUUUCUGCCACUUACAUUGCAAAUUAUGCAAAUUUAUACAGCAGACUAAUUUAGCAGAAAAGGAAAUAGGGUUCUUUUGUAUUAGGUACCAAGUUAUAUUAUGCUUUUAAAAUGUAUAAGCCUUGAGGAAUAUUAAAAUGUUAAUUUGGAUAGUAUUUAAAAGGUAAUUACUUUUAUACAAUAAAAUAAGUCUACUGCAUACUAA